CAGUCGCCACGGUAAUACGAAGGGGGCUAGCGUUGCUCGGAAUUACUGGGCGUAAAGGGCGCGUAGGCGGACAGUUCAGUCGGGGGUGAAAGCCCGGGGCUCAACCUCGGAAUUGCCUUCGAUACUGGCUGUCUUGAGUAUGAGAGAGGUGUGUGGAACUCCGAGUGUAGAGGUGAAAUUCGUAGAUAUUCGGAAGAACACCAGCGGCGAAGGCGACACACUGGCUCAUUACUGACGCUGAGGCGCGAAAGCGUGGGGAGCAAACAGGAUUAGAUACCCGAGUAGUCCCUGUCUCUUAUAC
rnacentral:rRNA from 1 species